CUCACAAGCCAUAAGUUUAACAUUGUGAUAUUAGAUGAGUCCCAUUACUUGAAGGAAAGAAAAUCUACCCGCACAAAACGCUUGCACCAACUCUGUAAGAAAGCUAAACAUGCUAUUUUGUUGAGUGGAACACCAUCGCUUGCCAGACCUCGGGAGCUUUACACUCAACUUGAUAUUGUGUGCCCAGGCAAGUUUGGUUCCUUCAGCAGUUUUGUUAAACGCUACUGUGAUGCUCAUUCGGUUUACUAUCGAGGCGAGAGGCAUUUUGAUACCAGUGGUGCUUCCAAUCUUGAUGAGCUUUAUAAUCUCCUCAAAAGGCAUGUUAUGAUUCGACGUCUUAAGAAGGAGGU